GCGACCCCAGGAUGGGUGGGAU
rnacentral:rRNA from 1 species